UACUGGACGGGAUACGAGCAACUCGGGAGCCCAAGAUGUUUGUGCAAAACAAUAAUGCUGACGAUGCACGGGACUCCCAUAAUGGGGUAGGGGGUGGAUGCAAGUAGGUUCACGCCCCCCAAAGAGCUACCCAGUAGAGGAACACUGGCUGAGAACUUUGCAGACAGAGCGGGAAGCACGCAGUACCCUUGCCAUCACUGUAACACUUUAGCAGCGUGAUCACAAUGUAUCCAGCGUUCAUUCACACAGGCAGCACAGCCAGACUCCACCCAGACUCCACCCAGGUCACGAAAGCCGCCCUUCAUGCAUUAACCGGAGUUUUAAUGCGCAAUUGACCAGAAGUUGAAUUGGACCAGCUACCUAAAUUCCAUGGAUACAAGAACCGGUCAGAAGCUGGAUACACUGCAGCAAUUGGCUUGUCUACUGACUCCCCAAAGCCUCUUCAACAGCUGCAAGACAAGAGUCAGGAGUGUGAUGAAAUACUCUCCACUUGUGUAGAUAGGUGUGGGUCCAACAACACUCAAGAAGCUCAACACCAUCCAGGAUAAAGCAUCCUGCUUGGUCAACACCCCAACCACUGACUUAAACAUCCACUUCUUCCAGCACUGGUGUAUCAAGGUGCGAUGUGUACUAUCUACAGGAUGCAUUGCAGUAACACACCAAGGCAUCUUUGCAGCACCUUCCAAAUCCAUGGCCUCCACCACCUAGAAGGACAAAGACAACAGCCACAUGGGAACAACAACACUUCCAGUUACCCUACAAGUUACACACCAUCCCAAUUGAAUCCAGAAUCACUGUUCCUUCAUCGUCGCAGGGUCAAAUCCUGGAGCUCCCUGCCUAACAGCACUAUGUUGGUGUACUUUCACCAUAAAGACUUGCAGCAGUUCAAGAAGAAGAUCACUACCACCUUCUCAAGGGCAGCUAGGUAGUGUGGGCCUUACCAACGAUGCCCAAAUCCUAAGAUUAAAUAUUUUUUUAAAGUUCUUGUUAAACACAAUUUAGUAACACUUGUUACAUUUGGUAAUGCAAUGUGUUACAGUAAUACGCGAUACUAUUUUGAUAUGUAUCACCACAAAUCCCGCUGUUUGCUUCUUCCACCAUUGGUAGCAUUAUGACACUCGCUCUCAAUUCUGUCUCUAUCCAUUUUCUUUACUUCAGAGGUAGAUGAUUGUGGUCAUUGGAAGUCAGCCUUCUCAGCACCAGGACAGCACUGCAGGAGUUCCUCAGGGCAGUGUCAUAGGUUCAGUCAUCAUCAAUGCUCAAUCAAUUACCUUGCCUCCAUCAUAAGGUCAGAAGUGGGGAUGUUCAUUGCGCAUAAUGAUUGAAUGCUGUAUAGUUCCAUUCGCAGUUCCUCAGAUAAUGAAGUAAUCCAUGCCUUCAUGCAGCAAACCUGAACAACAUUCAGGCUUGGGCUGAUCAGUAGUAACUAACAUUUGCACCAUGCAAGUGUCAGGAAAUGACCAUUUUCAACGAGAGAGUCUAACCACUUCCCCUUGACGUUCAAUGGCUUUACAAUAAUAAAGUACCCCAUAUCAAUA